GCUUACGGCCAUACCAGCCUGNNUACGCCCGAUCUCGUCCGAUCUCGGAAGCUAAGCAGGGUCGGGCCUGGUUAGUACUUGGAUGGGAGACCGCCUGGGAAUACCAGGUGCUGUAAGCUU
rnacentral:rRNA from 4 species